rnacentral:rRNA from 1 species
CGACCGGCGCACGGGUGAGUAACACGUAUCCAACCUGCCGUCUACUCUUGGACAGCCUUCUGAAAGGAAGAUUAAUACAAGAUGGCAUCAUGAGUCCGCAUGUUCACAUGAUUUAAAAGGUAUUCCGGUAGACGAUGGGGAUGCGUUCCAUUAGAUAGUAGGCGGGGGUAACGGGCCCACCUAGUCUUCGAUGGAUAGGGGUUCUGAGAGGAAGGUCCCCCACAUUGGAACUGAGACACGGUCCAAACUCCUACGGGAGGCAGCAUG